UCCCCCGGCGUCGGCCGGGGCGCGCCGCGCGGGCUGCUGGGAGUGGUAGUUCCAGCAGCGCGCUUCCGGCUGGGCCGAAAGUGCCUCCACGAAACCGCAGGUUCCUCCAGAGGCAGCCACUAUCCGGAAUGAGAUGUGGCUCGCUCCACGUGUUUCCUGAAACUUUACAACGCGUCUGUAUUCCAGAGCAAUACAAAGCAUGUUUUGCAUUCAUAGAGAUGCUAUCGAUACCAUAAGAUUUCAUUUGCAACUUACAUUGUUUGCUUCGUGUAUUUAUCCUUUUUGGUAUGUGAAGCUGUAUUUCAUUUAUUUUCACUGCUGUAUAGUUUCCCAUUGAAUGAAUUUACCACAAUGUUUAUCCUCUCUACCUUCGUGUGUGUGUGCAGUGAGGUAAUUGGGUUUACCCGUUUACUUAUUCAAGGAAGUACUGGAGAUUGAACCUAGGACCUCAUGCAUGCUAAAGCAUGCAUUCUACCACCUGAGCUAUACCCUCCCCACAUCGUCUCUACUUUUGAUAGCCACAUCGUCUCUACUUUUUAUAGCCACUUGGAUUCAUUCAAAAAUACUCAUUAAAGCAAAAAACUGGGAAUAAAGUAGUGGGGAAAAAAAUCGAGCUCACGUUCUAGAGGGGAAUAAGCAGUAAAGAAGUUAAGUAGAACAUGUAACAUAUCUGAUGGGAUAACUGCUAAAAGCCAAAGAGGGAAAGGCGACAGGGGAGGCUGGAGGAUCAGGGAAGGCCUUACUGAGAAGCAAAGAUGUGAACACAGGGAGGAAGCCAGCCAUUCAGACAUCUGCUUGCACCUUUGCAAGCAAAGGGCUUCCAGUUUUUGCUAUGAACAUUCACGUAUAGGUCUCCUUAUAAUUUCUCCUUGUGGGUUUCUCUGGUGUGAAUAUGUCCACAACUGGUAGAAAUGUCACCCAGUUUCCAAAAGGACUGCGUCUUUUUAUAGUUCCACUAGUAACAUCUAGGAGUUCCACCUGCUCCACAUCCUCACCAAUGCUUGGUAGUGUCAGAUUUUAAAAUGUUUGCCAAAUGCAUGGUACAAAGUGGUAUUUCAUUGUGACAUGUGUGCACUUACUAAUGAGACUCAGCAUUUUUUCAUAGUUUUUAGCCAUUUGUGUUUUCUCUGAAUUACCUUCUCAUUUCUCAUUUCAUUCCUGUAUUUUUCUCUUGGUUUGUCUUUUUCUUGCUGGUUUGUAAAAGUUCUUCACAUAAAUUUAACAUUGAUCUUUUACUAGUAAUAUAUCCCUUCUAAGUUGUAACUUAUCUUUUACUUUGUUUAUGGUGUCUUUUGAAGAAAAGAAGGAUUUUUUUAAUAUCUUUUGUUUCCAUUGUGUUUUGUCUUCAUUUCAAAAUCUCAGCUACAUUUCAGUCCUAAAAAUAGAUCCUGUAUUUUCUCCUAAAAGACUUUCUAAUCAGCUUAAUUGCUGUAUAACUGACACAUGAUAAACUGCACAUAUUUAAAGUGUAUAAUUUUGUAAAUUUUGAUAUGUUUAAACCUGUAAAACCAUCACCACAAUCUAGAGAAUGAAUCUAACCAUCAUCCCCAGUUUUUUCAGGUCCCUUUAAGUUCCUCCCAUCUCUCCACACAUGGAACGAUACAUUGCAUACUCUUUAUUUGGGGGGAUCUGGUUUCUUUUACUCAGCAUAAUUAUUUUGAGAUUCAUCCAUGUUGUUGCAUGUAUCAAUGGGACAUUCCAUUUUAUUGCUCAGUAAUACUCCAUUUUAUGAAUCUAUGACAAUUUGUUUACCCAGUCACCCGUUGCUGGACAUUUGAGUUGUUUCCAGUUCAGGGCUGUUAUAAAUAAAGCAGAUAUGACAUUAGCAUAGGGUACAAGUCUUUGUAUGGGCAUCUAUUUCCUUUUGGGUAAAUGUCUAGGAGCAGAAUGGCUGGGUCACAUGGUAGGUGUAAGUUCAGUAUUUUAAGAAACUGUCAAAA